rnacentral:rRNA from 1 species
GGCGGACGGGUGAGUAACACGUAAGCACCCUGCCUGUUAGAGGGGAAUAACAACGAGAAAUCGUUGCUAAUACCGCAUAUGCCAUAAGUAUCACAUGAUACUAGUGGGAAAGGAGCAAUCCGCUAACAGAUGGGCUUGCGUCUGAUUAGUUAGUUGGUGGGGUAMCGGCCUACCAAGACGACGAUCAGUAGCCGGACUGAGAGGUUCAACGGCCACAUUGGGACUGAGAUACGGCCCAGACUCCUACGGGAGGCAGCAGUCGGGAAUAUUGCGCAAUGGAGGAAACUCUGACGCAGUGACGCCGCGUAUAGGAAGAAGGUUUUCGGAUUGUAAACUAUUGUCUGUAGGGAAGAUAAAAGACUGUACCUACAAAGAAAGCUCCGGCUAACUACGUGCCAGCAGCCGCGGUAAUACGUAGGGAGCAAGCGUUAUCCGGAUUUAUUGGGUGUAAAGGGUGCGUAGGCGGGAAAUUAAGUUAGUUGUGAAAUCCCUCGGCUCAACUGAGGAACUGCAACUAAAACUGAUUUUCUUGAGUGCAGGAGAGGAAAGUGGAAUUCCUAGUGUAGCGGUGAAAUGCGUAGAUAUUAGGAGGAACACCAGUGGCGAAGGCGACUUUCUGGAC